rfam:Aedes albopictus isolate Foshan contig100428, whole genome shotgun sequence.
UGCCAAGCAACUUCUAUCCCUACCUCGGCGUGGUACCGGCUGGAAACUACGAGCAACCUUAGGGAAGA